AACGCACAUUGCGCCCCUUGGUAUUCCGAGGGGCAUGCCUGUUCGAGCGUCAUUAUAACCACUCAAGCCUGGCUUGGUAUUGGGGUUCGCGGUCUCGCGGCCCUUAAAAUCAGUGGCGGUGCCUUCUGGCUCUAAGCGUAGUAAUUUUUCUCGCUACAGGGUCUGGUGGUUACUUGCCAUUAACCCCCCAUUUUCUUAGGUUGACCUCGGAUCAGGUAGGGAUACCCGCUGAACUUAA
rnacentral:misc_RNA from 1 species